rnacentral:rRNA from 1 species
UAUACAGGUGUUGCAUGGCUGUCGUCAGCUCGUGUCGUGAGAUGUUCGGUUAAGUCCGCUAACGAGCGCAACCCUCGUCGUAUGUUAUAUGUGUCAUACGAGACUGCCGGUAAAAAGCCGGAGGAAGGUGAGGAUGAUGUCAAGUCAGCAUGACCUUUAUAUCCAGGGCUACACACACGCUACAAUGGUCUGUACAAUGGGUAGCCAAGCCGCGAGGCGGAGCCAAUCCUGAAAGCAGGCCUCAGUUCAGAUUACAGUCUGCAACUCGACUGCAUGAAGCCGGAGUUGCUAGUAACCGCAGGUCAGCAAUACUGCGGUGAAUACGUUCCCGGGUCUU